UGCUAUGUUAUAUCUGGAAUAGGAUCCAUCCUUAUAAUCCCACUAUCUCUGGUUUCAUUACAUUGUAGAAUUACAAGAAAAUUAAUGCUUAAAACCCAACAAAGAAGACCCCUGAUUCCUGUGCUACUUCAAAGGAAAUUUAUUAGAAAAUGAACAGAUUUCACAAUUAUCUGGAUUCGAAAAAGGGAAUAUUGUUCUGAAGUGUGGUGCUUUGCUCAACUAAUAAUUACUGGAACAGAUUAAUUUCUACUACUUUCUGCUACCUACAUACACACUGCCAUCUCUUCUUCCCCCGGUGCCAGCCACGGAUCUUAAGUAUCCUAUUCCGUUACGUACAUAAUCCCAACUACAGCAAUAUUAAAGUAUCACCAAGAUAACCCAAGUAUCCCGUAGUUUGCUUCGCCUUCUUGACUUGGAACGAAGAAGAACCACAUUUCAGGGUCAUAACGCAUUAAGUCUCCACUAAGUUUUAUCAAACCUGAUACAGUAACCCACUCAGACAUUUUAACAAGCAGAACAUGUGCCUGAUGUCACACUGUACGUAAUUCACUAAAGAUCAGAACACUACCCAUGCAAACCCAGAACUCCAAGGACAUAAACAGAGACAGUGAUGGUACUUCUAUUGCUGGAUUGACUGGUUUUAUUUGUGGGUGUGUGGAAGCUAAGGAAGCAGAAGCAAUUAGGCUCAGGGAGAUGCUGAGAUGGAACCCUCAACUUGCCUUUGGUAGGAGUUAUUAUUGAACUUAAUUCACAAACCUUGCUCUCCUCGAGCCCAGCCCAUCAAACGAUCACGUCUUGCAUAUUUCCUAAGGCUGCCCAUUUUGAUAUAUAUCUAACGAAAAGCCCAUUCUCU
rnacentral:lncRNA from 1 species